GCCAGUGGCGGCGUGCUAUACAUGCAGUCGAACGAACUUCCGUUAAUUGAUUAUGACGUACUUGUACUGAUUGAGAUUUUAACACGAAGUGAGUGGCGAACGGGUGAGUAACACGUGGGUAACCUGCCCAGAAGUAGGGGAUAACACCUGGAAACAGAUGCUAAUACCGUAUAACAGAGAAAACCGCAUGGUUUUCUUUUAAAAGAUGGCUCUGCUAUCACUUCUGGAUGGACCCGCGGCGUAUUAGCUAGUUGGUGAGGUAAAGGCUCACCAAGGCAGUGAUACGUAGCCGACCUGAGAGGGUAAUCGGCCACAUUGGGACUGAGACACGGCCCAGACUCCUACGGGAGGCAGCAGUAGGGAAUCUUCCACAAUGGACGCAAGUCUGAUGGAGCAACGCCGCGUGAGUGAAGAAGGGUUUCGGCUCGUAAAGCUCUGUUGUUAAAGAAGAACGUGGGUAAGAGUAACUGUUUACCCAGUGACGGUAUUUAACCAGAAAGCCACGGCUAACUACGUGCCAGCAGCCGCGGUAAUACGUAGGUGGCAAGCGUUAUCCGGAUUUAUUGGGCGUAAAGCGAGCGCAGGCGGUCUUUUAAGUCUAAUGUGAAAGCCUUCGGCUCAACCGAAGAAGUGCAUUGGAAACUGGGAGACUUGAGUGCAGAAGAGGACAGUGGAACUCCAUGUGUAGCGGUGAAAUGCGUAGAUAUAUGGAAGAACACCAGUGGCGAAGGCGGCUGUCUGGUCUGCAACUGACGCUGAGGCUCGAAAGCAUGGGUAGCGAACAGGAUUAGAUACCCUGGUAGUCCAUGCCGUAAACGAUGAUUACUAAGUGUUGGAGGGUUUCCGCCCUUCAGUGCUGCAGCUAACGCAUUAAGUAAUCCGCCUGGGGAGUACGACCGCAAGGUUGAAACUCAAAAGAAUUGACGGGGGCCCGCACAAGCGGUGGAGCAUGUGGUUUAAUUCGAAGCUACGCGAAGAACCUUACCAGGUCGUGACAUCUGUCUGACAGUCUA
rnacentral:rRNA from 1 species